CUUAGGUUGUCUAAAAUAAAAAAUAGGAUAAAGUCGGAAGUCGUUUGACAAUCACUUCAAUACCCAAGUUAGUUAUACUAUUUGAGAGAAAAUAAUAAUGAAACAAUCUUCUAUAAUAUUAAAUUUCACGUACAUGACUACGUGUUCAUCGCCUAUUUAUAUAGUAUUAAGAGAAAAUUUAGACUAAUUCUCAGGAUUUCUUUAACCAAUUUGAACUCGUUGCAUGCUUUAGGCACUAAGAUUAUACCAUGUCAACAUAAGAAUGAACUUAUUUUAUUGAUUCAAUCUAUCCAAUCUCUUCAAGAUCCAAGAUGCACACUUGAUCUGAUGGCAAGAUCCAUACUGUUCGGGUCAGAAUUCAGUAAAUUCAACCUAUCGAGAUCGGAUCUUAAGCUGAACUCUAUCAAGACUUGUUGAGUCAUUGCUAAUAUUUUCUAAUUCAAUCCCAUAGGUAUCUAGGUCUUCAAUUUUGACGAAAUUAAAUAGAGCUUUUAGAACUGCAACUUCUAACAACUAACAAGCCCUAUAUUUCUUCAAAAUAUAAGACUCAUAGACACCUAAAUUUUAUUACAAACAAGAAAGCAAGAUUAAGCAUCUAAUGAAACAGAUAGGUUAGGAAUCUAUAAGGCAUAAUAAAUCAAAAAACAAAACUCUGAGGGGGAAAUUGAACCUCAUGACUACAGUUCUCUAACAUGUGAUAAGGAUUCCUCCAAUCUCGGCUUACUUUGUUCAAUCCAUAUUCCUCUUGUCGGUCGGCUUUCAAUUGUUGCGGUCUGAACAUUCAAAUUUUCUUUCAUGGCAAUAGAAUUGACAUUUUUUUGACCAAAUUUCAUAAAGGCAGCAGGACGAUCUAGCUCUUGCGAAAAGUUGUUGAUAUCCGCACAAGCCCAACAACAGACUCACACUGGCCCAGUUGUUUGCAUUA
rnacentral:misc_RNA from 1 species